rnacentral:rRNA from 1 species
UACGGAGGGUGCAAGCGUUGCUCGGAAUUACUGGGCGUAAAGCGUGCGUAGGUGGUGUGUUAAGUCUGUCGUGAAAGCCCCGGGCUCAACCUGGGAAUGGCGAUGGAUACUGGCUCGCUAGAGUGCGGUAGAGGAGAGUGGAAUUCCCGGUGUAGCAGUGAAAUGCGUAGAGAUCGGGAGGAACAGCAGUGGCGAAGGCGGCUCACUGGACCAGCACUGACACUGAGGCACGAAAGCGUGGGGAGCAAACAGG